AGGACGAACGCUGGCGGCGCGCUUAACACAUGCAAGUCGAGCGAGAACCAGUCUUCGGACUGGGGAAAGCGGCGAACGGGUGAGUAACACGUGGGUAAUCAACCCUUGACACCGGGAUAGCCCGAGGAAACUCGGAUUAAUACCGGAUGGCCCAACAGUCUUUCGGGGCGGUUGGAAAAGGUAGCUUCGGCCUCCGGUCAGGGACGAGCCCGCGGCGGAUUAGCUUGUUGGUGAGGUAACGGCUCACCAAGGCAACGAUCCGUAGCUGGUCUGAGAGGACGAUCAGCCACACUGGGACUGAGACACGGCCCAGACUCCUACGGGAGGCAGCAGUGGGGAAUCUUGCACAAUGGGCGAAAGCCUGAUGCAGCGACGCCGCGUGGAUGAUGAAGGCCUAGGGUUGUAAAGUCCUUCGACGGGAAGAUAAUGACGGUACCGUAGAAGAAGCCCGGCUAACUUCGUGCCAGCAGCCGAC
rnacentral:rRNA from 1 species